CCUACGGGUGGCAGCAGUGAGGAAUAUUGGACAAUGGGCGCGAGCCUGAACCAGCCAAGUAGCGUGAAGGAUGACUGCCCUACGGGUUGUAAGCUUCUUUUAUAAAGGAGUAAAGUGUGGCACGUGUGCCUUUUUGUAUGUACUUUAUGAAUAAGGAUCGGAUCACUCAGUGCCAGCAGCCGCGGUAAUACGGAGGAUCCGAGCGUUGUCCGGAUUGAUUUGGUUUAAAGGGAGCGUAGAUGGGUUGUUAAGUCAGUUGUGAAAGGUUGUGGCUCAACCGUGGAAUUGAACGUGAUACUGGCAGUCUUGAGUACAGUUGAGGUAGGCAGAAUUCGUGGUGUAGCGGUGAAAUGCUUAGAUAUCACGAGGAACACCGAUGGCGAAGGCAGCUUACUAAAC
rnacentral:rRNA from 1 species